rnacentral:rRNA from 1 species
GACGUAGGUGGCGAACGUUAUCCGGAAUUAUUGGGCGUAAAGAGCUCGUAGGCGGCUUGUCGCGUCGGAUGUGAAAGCCCGGGGCUUAACCCCGGGUCUGCAUUCGAUACGGGCAGGCUAGAGUUCGGUAGGGGAGACUGGAAUUCCUGGUGCAGCGGUGAAAUGCGCAGAUAUCAGGAGGAACACCGAUGGCGAAGGCAGGUCUCUGGGCCGAUACUGACGCUGAGGAGCGAAAGCGUGGGGAGCGAACAGG